rnacentral:rRNA from 1 species
AAACUUUCAACAACGGAUCUCUUGGUUCUGGCAUCCAUGAAAAACGCAACGAAAUGCGAUAAGUAAUGUGAAUUGCAGAAUUCAGUGAAUCAUCGAAUCUUUGAACGCACAUUGCGCCCAUUAGUAUUCUAGUGGGCAUGCCUAUUCGAGCGUCAUUU